GGCAGUGUGUUAAUGAAUCUUUGUUGAACCCUUUUCUUCUAUCAAGGACUGAAAUAUCUGAUUUAAUCUCAGUGGUGCUUAAAAUAAACUUUUGUGGCUGAGUUUACUCAAGCCCUUAUUUGAAAGCUAUUCUUAUAGGCAGGCCCAGAGCUAAAGACUGCCAGCUUGUUGGCCCACUGCUGUCUGUUCCUGGGGGCACAUUGGGAGCCGUCAUCAGGUUUCUUGACUUGGACUUCUGACUUACUACUCUCUGGACAGUCUGGAGAGUAGGUGGAUUUCAGUUCAGUUAUUUUUGAUUGCUUUGUAGCGGAAAUGGAGGAUAAAGUUUUAACUGUGGUCAAGGUUUUAAAUGGCAUCUGUGACAAAACAAUCCGAUCUACCACAGAUCCUGUGAUGAGCCAGUGUGCAUGUCUGGAGGAAGUUCACUUACCAAACAUUAAACCUGGGGAAGGCCUGGGCAUGUACAUCAAAUCAACCUAUGAUGGGUUACACGUGAUUACUGGAACCACAGAAAAUUCUCCUGCAGACAGAUCUCAGAAGAUUCAUGCUGGUGACGAAGUCAUUCAAGUUAAUCAGCAAACUGUGGUGGGAUGGCAGCUGAAAAAUUUGGUGAAGAAAUUGAGAGAGAAUCCCACCGGAGUUGUGUUACUGCUUAAGAAGCGCCCCACCGGGUCUUUCAACUUUACUCCUGCUCCCCUGAAAAACCUACGGUGGAAGCCACCUCUUGUACAGACCUCACCUCCACCCAUGACAACCCAGUCCCCUGAAAGCACUAUGGAUACCUCACUGAAGAGGGAGAAGUCAGCCAUCCUGGAUCUUUAUAUUCCUCCUCCGCCAGCUGUUCCCUACUCUCCCCGGGAUGAGAAUGGCAGUUUUGUUUAUGGAGGGUCCAGUAAGUGCAAACAACCAUUGCCUGGUCCUAAGGGUUCAGAGUCCCCGAAUUCCUUCUUGGACCAGGAAAGCCGGAGACGAAGAUUCACCAUUGCAGACUCGGAUCAGUUGCCUGGGUACUCGGUGGAAACCAACAUUCUGCCCACAAAAAUGAGAGAGAAAACACCAUCUUAUGGCAAGCCGCGGCCUUUGUCCAUGCCUGCUGAUGGGAACUGGAUGGGGAUUGUGGACCCUUUUGCCAGACCUCGAGGUCAUGGCAGGAAAGGGGAGGAUGCCCUUUGCCGGUAUUUCAGUAACGAGCGGAUUCCUCCGAUCAUUGAAGAGAGCUCCUCUCCCCCAUACCGGUUCUCCAGACCCACGACCGAGCGGCAUCUGGUCCGGGGUGCGGACUACAUCCGAGGAAGCAGGUGCUACAUCAACUCAGAUCUCCACAGCAGCGCCACGAUUCCAUUCCAGGAGGAAGGGACCAAAAAGAAAUCUGGCUCCUCAGCUACGAAGUCCUCGUCCGCAGAACCGUCCCUCCUGGUCAGCUGGUUUACGCGCCUCAAACUGUUGACUCACUGAGAGGGACCCUGCUCAGGCCACCUGCCUGGCUCCUGCCCCAAGUGCCUUGCUUUUACAGUGGACAGCCUCUUCUCGUUUCAGCCUCAGUAUUAUGUAGGGACCUUACGCAAUUUCUUUUUUUUUUGAAAAGUUAUCUACUGCCCUUCUUGGAAGUUUGCAGGAUUGGAUGGGAACAAAUUCAGAGGAUCUUAGGUGCUGGCUUGUGGAGACAAAAGGAGGGAAAUGGGUAGAGCCUGUUUGUCUUGCUUCCCCAGAGAUAGAAUGUGAAGACACGCACUAGAAAUCGCAGUCCUGGCCAGAGACGUUAUGGUCAUUGUGAGGGACUGGUGGCAUUGUUCCUUUUUGAGGGGCUGGGGGGACUAAAAUUGGUGGCUAUUUUCACACAGAUGUGUUGGUUUGUGGUCCAACUUCUUUAUCUGAAAAAGCCAGUGAGAAAACAUUUUUGAUUUGAUUUUUCUAAACUAUCUACCAUAUUUUAAGUGUAGCAGCUUUGACUUUGCAAUAACGUGGCAAGUAUCUGAUUUCUCCUUUGAGGCAGAGGUUUAAGUGUAGGCCUGUUACACUUGUUUGAUACCUUUUUCAUGACAGUCUCAGUAUAGAUCAGUUGGUACAGAAAUACAUGAACACAUUUUGAUAGGGCUUAUUUCACACAAAGAAGUUUAUGGUUAUUUGUGUGGGGUGUUGUUGUUAUAUAUUAUUGUCUUUAAGGGAAAAGAAGCUAUAAGAUUCGCUGACAGCCAAAGUAUCAUUUAGAAAAGUGAAGCAACAAGAUUUAGGUUGAUGAAAGAUACAUCAGUUUGCAUUUUGACCUGUUCAGUGUCUGUCUUCCAGCAUGGUGUGUACAGUUCUUCAAAAUUGUACACAGUUUGCUAAUUAGAAAUAUCUUGGAAA
rnacentral:sRNA from 1 species